rnacentral:rRNA from 2 species
AAAUUGAAGAGUUUGAUCAUGGCUCAGAUUGAACGCUGGCGGCAGGCCUAACACAUGCAAGUCGAACGGUAACAGGAAGCAGCUUGCUGCUUCGCUGACGAGUGGCGGACGGGUGAGUAAUGUCUGGGAAACUGCCUGAUGGAGGGGGAUAACUACUGGAAACGGUAGCUAAUACCGCAUAACGUCGCAAGACC